GACGAAGGUGGCGAGCGUUGUUCGGAAUCACUGGGCCUAAAGCGCACGUAGGCGGUGUCGUAAGUCGGGUGUGAAAUCCCUCGGCCCAACCGAGGAACUGCGCCCAGUACUGCGUUGCUUGAGGAUCCAAGGGGUGCAUGGAAUUCCCGGUGGAGCGGUGAAAUGCGUUGAUAUCGGGAGGAACUCCGGCGGCGAAAGCGGUGCACUGGUGGAUUACUGACGCUGAGGCGCGAAAGCUAGGGGAGCAAACGGG
rnacentral:rRNA from 1 species